CAAUAGCGUAUAUUAAAGUUGUUGCAGUUAAAAAGCUCGUAGUUGAAUUUCUGGGCGGCCCGCCGGUCUUCCAUGUGUUGUACUGGGCGGCGCCGGCCAUCCUUGUGGAGAGGGCUCGCAUUUGGUUGCGUGUCGGAUCUGCAUCAUUUACUGUGAAAAAAUUAGAGUGUUUAAAGCAGGCUGUCGCUUGAAUACAUUAGCAUGGAAUAAUAAGAUAGGACUUCGGUCUAUUUUGUUGGUUGCGAACCGAGGUAAUGAUUAAUAGGGAUAGUUGGGGGUAUUCAUAUUUAAUUGUCAGAGGUGAAAUUCUUGGAUUUAUGAAAGGUGAACAACUGCGAAAGCAUUUACCAAGGAUGUUUUCAUUAA
rnacentral:rRNA from 1 species